UACGGAGGGUGCAAGCGUUAUCCGGAUUCACUGGGUUUAAAGGGUGCGUAGGUGGGAAGUAAGUCAGUGGUGAAAUCUCCGUGCUUAACACGGAAACUGCCAUUGAUACUAUUUUUCUUGAAUUUUCUAGAGGUCAGCGGAAUAUGUCAUGUAGCGGUGAAAUGCUUAGAUAUGACAUAGAACACCAAUUGCGAAGGCAGCUGACUACAGGGAAUAUUGACACUGAGGCACGAAAGCGUGGGGAUCAAAACAGG
rnacentral:rRNA from 1 species